rnacentral:rRNA from 1 species
GGGGGCCCGCAAGCGGCGGAGCAUGCGGAUUAAUUCGAUGCAACGCGAAGAACCUUACCAAGGCUUGACAUAUACCCUUUAUCCCUAGAGAUAGGGAGUCCUUCGGGGGGGUAUACAGGUGGUGCAUGGUUGUCGUCAGCUCGUGUCGUGAGAUGUUGGGUUAAGUCCCGCAACGAGCGCAACCCUCGUCCUAUGUUGCCAGCACGUAAUGGUGGGGACUCAUAGGAGACUGCCGGGGUCAACUCGGAGGAAGGUGGGGAUGACGUCAAAUCAUCAUGCCCCUUAUGUCUUGGGCUUCACGCAUGCUACAAUGGCCGGUACAAUGGGCUGCUAAACCGUAAGGUGGAGCGAAUCCCAAAAAGCCGGUCUCAGUUCGGAUUGAGGUCUGCAACUCGACUUCAUGAAGUUGGAGUCGCUAGUAAUCGCAGAUCAGCAACGCUGCGGUGAAUACUUUCCCGGGCCUUGUACACACC